CUACGGGAGGCAGCAGUGGGGAAUUUUGGACAAUGGGCGAAAGCCUGAUCCAGCCAUGCCGCGUGAGUGAAGAAGGCCUUCGGGUUGUAAAGCUCUUUCAGGUGGAAAGAAAGCGGAUGGGCUAAUACCCUGUUCGGAUGACGGUACCACCAGAAGAAGCACCGGCUAACUACGUGCCAGCAGCCGCGGUAAUACGUAGGGUGCGAGCGUUAAUCGGAAUUACUGGGCGUAAAGCGUGCGCAGGCGGUUGUGUAAGACAGGUGUGAAAUCCCCGGGCUUAACCUGGGAACUGCGCUUGUGACUGCACAGCUAGAGUACGGCAGAGGGGGGUAGAAUUCCACGUGUAGCAGUGAAAUGCGUAGAAAUGUGGAGGAAUACCGAUGGCGAAGGCAGCCCCCUGGGCCAAUACUGACGCUGAGGUGCGAAAGCGUGGGGAGCAAACAGGAUUAGAUACCCUUGUAGUCC
rnacentral:rRNA from 1 species